UACGUAGGUCCCGAGCGUUGUCCGGAUUUAUUGGGCCUAAAGCGAGCGCAGGUGGUUUAUUAAGUCUGGUGUAAAAGGCAGUGGCUCAACCAUUGUAUGCAUUGGAAACUGGUAGACUUGAGUGCAGGAGAGGAGAGUGGAAUUCCAUGUGUAGCGGUGAAAUGCGUAGAUAUAUGGAGGAACACCGGUGGCGAAAGCGGCUCUCUGGCCUGUAACUGACACUGAGGCUCGAAAGCGUGGGGAGCAAACAGG
rnacentral:rRNA from 1 species